rnacentral:lncRNA from 9 species
AUGGGCGCCCCGGGUCCAGGGCCCGCGGAGCCGCUCUCGGGGCGGAGACCUUGCCCCCAGGGGCACGUCAGCGGUCCUGAGGUGAGGCUCCUGCAGAGCACUCUGGGCCGCGUGUGUCUCUCCCUGCGUGGGCAGGCAGUGUCGGUGGCCGGAGCGAGGGUGUUUUCCCAUCGGGGUGAGAGGGAGAGCCCCAGGGUGGGCCUGGGGGCGGAAUCGGACUCGGGGUUGGGGUGGACUCUUCUGAAGCUGGGAGGGGUGCGGGUGGGCAGGGCCUUAGGGAGCCUGAGGGAGGCGCGGUUCCUGGGGGAAGGGUGUGGCGAGGCGGCGGCAGCCCGCGUGCGCUGUGGCGCCCCAGCGAAGGGGCAGUGCUGGCCACUCGUGUGGCCCUUUGGCUGCUGGCACCCAGUGAGAGGGGGGAGGCCAGGGACAGGUGGCAGCCAGGCUGCCCACAGGCCCUGGGCGGUGGGGGGCCCGGCCCCUGUGCCUUGGGCAGCCUGGCCCCUUGCUGAGGCGUGCUUGCGCGUGUCCGUUGUCGCCCUCACCCAGCUGCUGCGGCGGAGAGACGGAGGCCAGCGCGGGGAGCGGAAGCCGGAGCCUGUCGGGAGCGACCCCGGGAAGGCCAGUCCCUCCUGCCGGAGGGAGGCGUGUUGGCGUGCGGCCGGUGGCGGGAUCGAUGGCCACCUGGUAGGCGAUGCUGCUGCGGCGGAGAAACGGAGGCCAGCGCGGGGAGCGGAAGCCGGAGCCUGUCGGGAGCAACCCCGGGAAGGCCAGUCCCUCCUGCCGGAGGGAGGCGUGUUGGCGUGCGGCCGGUGGCGGGAUCGAUGGCCACCUGGUAGGCGAUGCUGCUGCGGCGGAGAAACGGAGGCCAGCGCGGGGAGCGGAAGCCGGAGCCUGUCGGGAGCGACCCCGGGAAGGCCAGUCCCUCCUGCCGGAGGGUGGCGUGUUGGCGUGCGGCCGGUGGCGGGAUCGAUGGCCACCUGGUAGGCGUGCCAAGCUGCUGCGGCGGAGAAACGGAGGCCAGCGCGGGGAGCGGAAGCCGGAGCCUGUCGGGAGCGACCCCGGGAAGGCCAGUCCCUCCUGCCGGAGGGUGGCGUGUUGGCGUGCGGCCGGUGGCGGGAUCGAUGGCCACCUGGUAGGCGUGCCAAGGUAGCCCCCGGGGCGCCGUGUGUGGCGCCCGGACCCGCACCCUCUGCUCCCGGGGGUGGAGCUGACCUGCUUGCCCGCGGUUGGGCCGGGAGGCUCCGGGACGCGUCCGGGAGGGAGCUGGCUGGCCGUCCCGGCGGUGGGGGCUGUGGCGGUGGCCGUCCCACGGGUGUGCCCGUGCUCGGAUCGAUGAUGACACCCACAAACGCAUUCCUUGGAAAAUCUGAACAAAAUGAGUGAGAACUCACUACCGUCUCCUCAUCGCAAACUGAGGUCCGGCACGUGGCUCCCACAGGGGACGUCGGGGGAGGGUCCCGUUGCCUUGGCUCCCUUGGGUGCGUGCAGCCCUGGGGCGCAGGUGGGGGCAGGCAGGCUCCGGUGGCCCGGGAGGGCCAUGGGGAGAGGAGCCUUGGGGCUGGCCUCCUCGGGGCAGCCCCGGGGCCCCGGGGCCCCGGUGCCCGGCGGGAAAGCCUUGGGAGUGGCAGGCCCAGUGUGGGGUGGGCUGCCUGCGGUGUGCGUGAGCUCCGCUGGGCUCUCAGGCCUGCGGCUGCCUCCGUGAGGCCUCUUUGGGGUCCUGCCCGCGGUGUCGGGCGCAGAGGCUGUCUGUAGGUUGCGGGUGAGCAGCGGGGGCCUUGGCCUCGGCGGGACUGCCGACCCAGGUUCUGGUGGGGAGAGAGGAGGCCGGCCGGGGGGCCUUGCCGAGAUGGCCGUUUGGGCGGGGUGGAUGCCUUUGCCUGCGUCUUCCCGGGUCGGCGGGGCUGCCAGUGCCUGUCCCUCGCAGAGUCCCUGGGGGGCAUCGGGAAGCCUGGAGCCCCUGCGGCAUUUCCCAGAGAGGUGGAGGCGGUGGGGCGCCAGGUGGCCCUGGGCGGUGCCGAGUCGGCCGCGGACUGGGGUCGAGAGAAGUGCGGGAGGGCCAGAGGUCCUGGGCCAGUGUGCGCACAGCACCGUGAGGGGGAGAGUUGGGUGCCCGGGGCGGCAGUGCCUUCAGGGCGGCCUGGGCUAUGAUGUGGGAUAUCCUCAGAGAUUUGGGCGGCGCGUGGAAGGCAGGACAGAGGGGUCCCGGGCACGUGAAUGGGCGCUGGGUGCCUGUGCCCUGGCCGGUCGUGGGUGCCCGCGGGCCAUAGAUGUGUGAGCCCGCGGCCAGCUCCCGGGGCCGCUAAGGUGUCCACACACGGGGCUGGGCGUUGAGGCCGUGCGGCGCCCCUGGCCUGGCUGAGGCCGUGUUCCCGGGGAGGGAGGACAGGGAGUUGCGCAGUGGGAGGCAGUGUGAGGUUGAUACCCAGCAGAGCUAGCCACGCCUGCGGACUGGAGCCCAGCCGAGCUGGUGCCGGGCGGGAGCUGGUGGCAAGGAGGGAGUCUGCUGUGGAGGAAAGGGGGCAGGCGGCGGCGGAAGGGGCGUGAGUUUCGGUGCGAGGGUCCCGCUGGGCCCAGGGCCUGGUGCGUCUCCCGUGGAGACGCUGGUGCUGGAGGUAGGGAGGCCUGGGUGUGCAUGGGUGUGCCACGCAAAGGAGAGGGUCCCAUGGGGCCCGGCGGGCCUUCCGGUGCUGGCGCCGGGGCUGUGGCGUGUGCCUUGCGUGGGGCCCGAGCGCCCAACUGGUGGCAGGUUCCGGGCGCCCGGCGGCAGGCGGUCUGGGCGGGUUACGUUGUGUCCGGUGGACAGGCAGCCGCCAUGGGGCGCGGUUUGGGCAGGCAGGCCUCCGGUGUCCCCAGAGUGCCCCGGGGAGACCUGCCUGGGGGACCCAGGCCCCUGCCCCAAGGGGCCUGGUGUGGCGGGCCUGGAGGGUGAAGGGCGCGCGACCCGAGCCCACAGCCUGGCGGCUGGGGUCGCCCUCGCCAUUGGCGGUCAGGGCGAGGUGCGGCCCUGCGGGUCUUGCCCAGGCUCCAGGGCCCUUGGGGUCCCGGAGGGUCCAGCAGAAGGGUCUGUGUUUUGCCCGGGGUCCUGAGAGCGUGCUGGGGAUAGCGGGGUGGAGUGCAGGUGUGCCCAUGGGCGCCCCGGGUCCAGGGCCCGCGGAGCCGCUCUCGGGGCGGAGACCUUGCCCCCAGGGCACGUCAGCGGUCCUGAGCUGAGGCUCCUGCAGAGCACUCUGGGCCGCGUGGUCUCUCCCUGCGUGGGCAGGCAGUGUC